rnacentral:rRNA from 1 species
UUAAAUUGAAGAGUUUGAUCAUGGCUCAGAUUGAACGCUGGCGGCAGGCCUAACACAUGCAAGUCGAACGGUAACAGGAAGCAGCUUGCUGCUUUGCUGACGAGUGGCGGACGGGUGAGUAAUGUCUGGGAAACUGCCUGAUGGAGGGGGAUAACUACUGGAAACGGUAGCUAAUACCGCAUAACGUCGCAAGACCAAAGAGGGGGACCUUCGGGCCUCUUGCCAUCGGAUGUGCCCAGAUGGGAUUAGCUUGUUGGUGGGGUAACGGCUCACCAAGGCGACGAUCCCUAGCUGGUCUGAGAGGAUGACCAGCCACACUGGAACUGAGACACGGUCCAGACUCCUACGGGAGGCAGCAGUGGGGAAUAUUGCACAAUGGGCGCAAGCCUGAUGCAGCCAUGC